rnacentral:rRNA from 1 species
AGAAAUCGUUAAGGGCGUAUGGCGGAUGCCUAGGCUUUCAGAGGCGAAGAAGGACGUGGUAAGCUGCGAAAAGCUACGGGGAUUGGCACACACGAAAUAAUCCGUAGAUAUCCGAAUGGGGCAACCCAGUAAGUUGAAGACUUACUACACCGUAAGGUGAGCGAACCCGGAGAACUGAAACAUCUAAGUACCCGGAGGAAAAGAAAUCGAAGAGAUUCCGUAAGUAGUGGCGAGCGAAAGCGGAUUAGCCCAAAAGUUUAUAUAUGUUUAGUGGAAUGUUUUGGAAAGAACAAUCAUAGAAGGUGAAAAUCCUGUACACGAAAGGCAUAUAUAGAUGAAGAAAGAGUAGGGCGGGACACGUGAAAUCCUGUCUGAAUAUGGGGGGACCAUCCUCCAAGGCUAAAUACUCCUGAAAGACCGAUAGUGAACAAGUACUGUGAAGGAAAGGUGAAAAGCACUUCGAAUAGAAGGGUGAAAGAGAACCUGAAACCGUACGCCUACAAGCGGUCGGAGCAGUUAUAUACUGUGACGGCGUGCCUUUUGCAUAAUGAGCCUACGAGUUAAUUUUACUAGCGAGGUUAAGGUAUUAAGUACCGGAGCCGGAGCGAAAGCGAGUCUGAAUAGGGCGAAUAGUUAGUGGGAUUAGACGCGAAACCUUGUGAUCUACCCAUGGGCAGGUUGAAGCACUGGUAACACAGUGUGGAGGACCGAACCGGUUGACGUUGAAAAGUCUUCGGAUGACCUGUGGGUAGGGGUGAAAGGCCAAUCAAACUGGGAGAUAGCUCGUACUCCCCGAAAUGCAUUUAGGUGCAGCGUUGAUUUAGUUUAUUAGAGGUAGAGCUACUGAUUGGAUGCGGGGGUUUCACCGCCUACCAAUUCCUGACAAACUCCGAAUGCUAAUAAAUAUUGAUCAGCAGUGAGGGCAUGGGUGCUAAGGUCCAUGUCCGAGAGGGAAAGAACCCAGACCAACAGCUAAGGUCCCUAAAUAUAUGCUAAGUUGAAACAACGCGGUUGAACUGCAUUGACAGCUAGGAUGUUGGCUUGGAAGCAGCCAUUCAUUUAAAGAGUGCGUAACAGCUCACUAGUCGAGCGGUUCGGCAUGGAUAAUAAUCGGGCAUAAGCAUAUUACCGAAGCUAUGGCAACGAAAGUUGGGUAGGGGAGCAUUCUAUCGGCGCAGAAGCAUCACUGUGAGGUGAUGUGGAGCUUAUAGAAAAGAAAAUGUAGGCAUAAGUAACGAUAAAGCAGGCGAGAAACCUGCUCACCGAAAGACUAAGGGUUCCUCAGCCAUGCUAAUCAGCUGAGGGUUAGUCGGGACCUAACGCGAACCCGAGAGGGGAAGUGGAUGGACAAUGGGUUAAUAUUCCCAUACUUGCUCACGAAUAAAGGGGACGGUUCAGCUAGACUACUGGAGACUGACGGAAUAGUCAAGACCUAGCCUACGGGCGAAGUUGUUGUAGAGUAACUGGAUCCAAGAAAAGCCGAAGUGAAGCAACCCGUACCAUAAACCGACACAGGUAGUCGAGGAGAGAAUCCUAAGGUGCUCGAGUGAGUCGUGGCUAAGGAACUAGGCAAAAUAGUCUCGUAACUUCGGAAUAAGAGACGCCAACAGCGAUGUUGGCCGCAGUGAAGAGGCCCAGGCGACUGUUUAUCAAAAACACAGGACUCUGCUAAAUCGAAAGAUGCUGUAUAGGGUCUGACACCUGCCCGGUGCUGGAAGGUUAAGGAAGGUGCUUAGCGUAAGCGAAGGCAUUGACUGAAGCCCCAGUAAACGGCGGCCGUAACUAUAACGGUCCUAAGGUAGCGAAAUUCCUUGUCGGGUAAG